UACAGAGGUCUCGAGCGUUAGGCGGAAUCACUGGGCUUAAAGCGUGUGUAGGCGGAUCGGUAAGUACCUUGUGAAAUCCCACAGCUUAACUGUGGAACUGCUUGGUAUACUGCCAGUCUUGAGCCACUUAGGGGCUACCGGAACAAAUGGUGGAGCGGUGAAAUGCGUAGAUAUCAUUUGGAACGCCAAUGGUGAAAACAGGUAGCUGGGAGUGUGCUGACGCUGAGACACGAAAGCGUGGGGAGCGAACAGG
rnacentral:rRNA from 1 species